rnacentral:rRNA from 1 species
UACGUAGGAUGCAAGCGUUGUCCGGAAUUAUUGGGCGUAAAGAGCGCGCAGGCGGUCUAUCAAGUCAGAUGUGAAAUAUCCAGGCUUAACCUGGAGGGGUCAUUUGAAACUGGUAGACUAGAGUACAGCAGAGGAUAGUGGAAUUCCCGGUGUAGUGGUGAAAUGCGUAGAUAUCGGGAGGAACACCAGUGGCGAAGGCGACUAUCUGGGCUGAAACUGACGCUGAGGCGCGAAGGCUAGGGGAGCAAACAGGG